GCGUAUCGAACAGGUCUAGGCAGAGCCUCCAAGGCCAGAAGGUCGUGGUGUUUGCUGCAAGCUUUCGGUUCGCCGGUGGAUUCUGCGAACAUUCGUCGAAAUGUCUGGGUUCCUGACAACUCUGUACCACUCUGUAUUCCGGAGAAGUUCCACCUUUGCCCUGGCAGUCAUUGGUGGUGCGUUCCUCUUCGAGCGAGCGGCCGACGCCACAGCGGACGGACUCUUCGACUACCUGAAUCGGGGGAAACAGUGGAAGGACAUCAAGAAAAACUAUGAAUAGGACCUGGACACACCUGCAGCGGAGAAGAGCUAGAUAGUCACCUUGGAUGUCUGAAGACUGACUGCUGUGAUGGGGGAGACAUUUCUCUUGCCCCAGACUUUACACCAGAGCCAAUAAAAUGCAGACGGCACAUACAUCAUGAA